rnacentral:rRNA from 1 species
AUUGAACGCUGGCGGCAUGCUUUACACAUGCAAGUCGAACGGUAACAGGUUAAGCUGACGAGUGGCGAACGGGUGAGUAAUGCAUCGGAACGUGCCCGGUCGUGGGGGAUAACACUUCGAAAGAAGUGCUAAUACCGCAUACGAUCUGAGGAUGAAAGCGGGGGACCGUAAGGCCUCGCGCGAUCGGAGCGGCCGAUGUCAGAUUGGGUAGUUGGUGGGGUAAAGGCUCACCAAGCCGACGAUCUGUAGCUGGUCUGAGAGGACGACCAGCCACAGUGGGACUGAGACACGGCCCAGACUCCUACGGGAGGCAGCAGUGGGGAAUUUUGGACAAUGGGCGAAAGCCUGAUCCAGCAAUGCCGCGUGCAGGAAGAAGGCCUUCGGGUUGUAAACUGCUUUUGUACGGAGCGAAAAGGCUCUCUCUAAUACAGGGGGCUCAUGACGGUACCGUAAGAAUAAGCACCGGCUAACUACGUGCCAGCCGCCGCCGUAA